rnacentral:lncRNA from 1 species
AAACGAGUGGGGAGACAGGGUUCAUCUGGCUUUAUACUUCAAAAUCACAGUGCAUCAUCAAAGGGAGUCGGGACAGGAACUCAGACAGGGCAGGAAGCUGGAGGCUGAUGCAGAGGCUACGGAGGGGAGCUGCUUACUACUGCUUGCUCACACUGCCUUGUUCAACCUGCUUUCUUACAGAAUCCAGGACCACCAGCCCAGGGAUAGCACCAUCUAUAAUGGACUGGGCCCUCCCCCCAUCAGUCACAAAUCGAGAAAAUGCUCUACAGCCUUGCGUUCAGCCCGGUUUUGAAGCAUUUUCUCAAUGUUGGUUCCCUCUUCUCAAAUGACUCUAGCCUGUGUCAAGUUGUCACAAGUAACCAGUACAGUGCAGGAGCCCACGAAAGGAAAACUAGACAGCAGGGCCUGUGUAUGACUCGCCAACCUGUCAAGACCAGCUUUGUUUCCCAAAUGUGCUCAGGUUGGCAAUCUCAUACCCAGAAUCAAGCCUUCCUGUUUAUUUUUUCAGUGUCCUUCACCUCACCAUAGUCAACAUUUUAAAACAUUUUUAUUUUUAUAUAUUUAUGUAUAGGUAUGACACAUUUUCAAUUUUUUUAUACUUAUAUGUGUGAGUAUGGACAUGUGUGACGGUAACCCGAGUCCAGAAAGCCAUUAGAUGCCUUAUGAGUAUUGCUUCUCAACCUGUGGGUUGGUGGCCUUUUAACAACCCUCCUUCUCAACAAAAAAAUGUACAUUAUGAUUCAUAACAGCAGCAUCACAGUUAUGAACUAGCAACAAAAACAAUGUAAUGGUUUGAGUUGCCAAAUGAACUAUAUUAAAGGGUCACCGCAUUGGGAAGGUUGAAAACCACUUACUACCUUAGAGCAAGCUGGUAGUUGUGAGCUGCCAGGGGUGCUGGGAACUGAAGUCUGGUCCUGCCCAAGAGCAGAAGGUGCUCUUAAUCACCAAGCUACGUUCCCAGCUCCUCAGCCCAAUAUCUUUUUUUUUAAAUAUUUUUAAAGAUUCAUUUAUUUAUUAUAUGUAAGUACACUGUAGCUGUCCUCAUACAAUCCAGAAGAGGGAGUCAGAUCUUGUUAUGGGUGGUUGUGAGCUACCAUGUGGUUGCUGGGAUUUAAACCCCGGACCUUCAGAAGAGCAGUCGGGUGCUCUUACCCACUGAGCCACCUCACCAGCCCUCAGCCCAAUAUCUUAACAUUCGCAUUAACCCCAGCACUUGUUUUCACCACAACAAAGAGAAACAUCUGUACAGCAGCAUGGAUGGCAAACGUGGUUCUAUUGGAAGCCUCUGGGAGCACUGCUCUCACAAUUCAGACCCACACACAGUCCUGCACGUGUAAACGCAAUUAAAAAGAAAUACU